UUUUUUUUUUUUUUUUUUUUUUUUUAAAGAAUCCUUAAGGGCCCCCACGUUGUGCACUCAAAGUGCCAGAGUAGGGAAUCUACCUUAACAGCAUGGGAUUCUUCCAUCCUAAGCGCAGGACUCUGCAUUUGUCCUUUAUUGAACCUCUUCGGAUUUCUUUUGGCCUAAUCUGCCAAUUUUGUCUCUUACUCUGGACCCUAUCCCUACCCUCCAGCAUAUCUACCUCUCCCCCAGCUUAGUGUCAUCUGUGAACUUGCUCAGGGUGCAAUCCAUCUCCUCAUCCAGAUCACUAAUCAGUGACUGUACCAAGAUGUGUGUACCAUAGAUUUAUAUAGAGGCAAAGAUAUUUUCCUUAUCUACCCUUUCUUAAGGAUUCCUAACAUUGUGUGCUUUUUCUUGACUACUGCUGCACAUUGAGUGGAAGUUUUCAGAGACCUACCCAUAAUGACUCCAUUUUGAAAAUAGACCAUUUAGUCCUACAUCAGAAGCAGGAAGCCUGCUACACAAUCAGUGGGGCCACUAGACAAUCAAGAUCCUAAAGGAGCACUCAAGGACAAUAAGGCCAUUGCGGAGAAACUAAAUGAAUUCUUUGCAUCGAUCUUCAUGGCUGAGGAUGUGAGGGAGAUUCCCAAACCUGAGCCAGUCUUUUUAGGUGACAAAUCCAAGGAACUGUCCCAGGUUGAGGUCAUUAACUCUGGUUCGUUGGUCAAUUUGUUCCUAAACCUCCUCUAAUCAGCCAUAGUGGAAGGAGUAACGAAACAUGGGCUUCCUCGUGCUUAUCUCAGAAUGUGAGCUACUUACUUAGCCUGCAAACGGGGCCUGGAUAGCAGUGCCAACAGAGAACAGGCACAGGGAUCCAGUUACAGGGAAAACAGGCAAUCUUGGGGGAGGGAGCCCCAGAGCUGCUUGGCAGUAGCUGAUAUUUUCUAAGAAGAAUGCUUUUGUUUUGGUUUGUUAAAAACCUAUGUUCUGUCCAAGUACUCUAAAAAAGAGUGAGGUCUUAACAGGGGAAGCUUCCUGCACCUCAUGCCUCCUGACCUGGGGAAUUGCAUGGAAAAGCAGGAGUGGGGGCACUAGGCUGGGUAUCAGCUGGUAUUAGUUGGCACAGUGCCACUGCAGUCGAUGUAGCUAGGUGGGCUAAUACCAGCUUGGGUUGUGAGCCACUGUGUCUAAUGGGCCCCACCUCAUCUGCCUGCUGCAUCAUGAACUUGCAUUUUCAAAAUGAUUUAAGCACUUGUGCUCCUAUGUCAUGACACUCUUGAGAAGCCUACUCCAGCUUACAAUGCCAGGCAGCCAUCCCUCAACUGCAGGAGCGGAGAUCUCAUCAACACUUUGCAGAGCGGGCAAGGAUGGACACUGGGCCACUCACUGGUGGGUAAGAUGAGCUAGUUCAUCCCUUAAAGUAUUUGCAAACUAGCCAAAUGGUUCGUCUAAUUAGCAAUGUGAGCGACUGGAUGAAUGAGAUGCCCACCCUCCCCACCUACUGUGUUGCAAAACGGCAGCCAAGGGAACAGGCUUGGCAGAAUCAGUGGGGAAAGGAAACUCAGUUGAGCUUGGCUCUAGUGUAGCACAGUGAAGAGACAUGAGGGAUGGAGGGAAAGAACCUCUCCUGAUUUUUCUUUUCCAUUUUCCCAACAAGGGGAUGUUGGCGGGGGGGGGGCAGUCAGAUGGGGCAGUACACCUGUCAAACCAUAACAAAGGUGCCCUGAGGGAAGCUCAGGGAGGACAGAAACUCCCAUGGAGCAGAAGGGCAAAAUUCAGACCAUGAGGGUGGGCCCUUCUGACUUCUAGAGGGUUUAAGCCAGAGAUGUCAGAAAAGUUACCACAGGAGUAUCUGGCUUGCAACAGCUAAGCAUUCAGCAUGACAUCGCUUUCUGAUCCUUUGUCAGCUCUUCCUAUCAGCGUGAAGUGGAAUUUACCAAACAGUGGAUUGUUCACCCCCAAUAGGGAAUAUGAGCUGGGUUUAGAUGGACACAGGUUAGUAUGACCCUACUGAUGUGAUGUCGCAAUAGUAAUCCUGCUCUGUGUGAAGGGCAUUGCGAACUCAGGCACUUGGUGUACGUGCUUGGCAGGAGAGUCAAGGGGGCGAUGCUACCAUCUGGGGGAUUAUGACUAAGUGCCUCUGUCAGAAUCCCCCUUAAAUGUAACAAUACAGCAGCAGGGUCUCGAUUGGCCCUGGAUAGCCAGCUGCCCCCUCUGGGGAGUAGAGCCAGUGCGAAGAGUGGUGUCAGGAUUGGGGCAUAGACAGAAGGAAGCUGCCUCUCUCCUGUAGCACACCAUGUGUUCAUGGGGAACCUGCUGCUAAAUCACUCACAGGCAUUGUGGUUCUGGGCCAGGGCUUCGUAUGUAGCAGCAGCUACCUCACUGACCUCUCUUGAAAUUCAUCCCUUGACCCAAGCUUUGG
rnacentral:ncRNA from 1 species